rnacentral:tRNA from 6 species
UCGAAAUCGGUAGACGCUACGGACUUAAAAUCCGUCGACUUUAGAAGUCGUGAGGGUUCAAGUCCCUCUAUCCCCA